GACGAACGCUGGCGGCGUGCCUAACACAUGCAAGUCGAGCGAUGAAGUUUCUUUCGGGAAAUGGAUUAGCGGCGGACGGGUGAGUAACACGUGGGUAACCUGCCUCAUAGAGGGGAACAGCCUCCCGAAAGGGAGAUUAAUACCGCAUAAUAUUACAGUUUCGCAUGAAACAGUAAUUAAAGGAGUAAUCCGCUAUGAGAUGGACCCGCGGCGCAUUAGCUAGUUGGUGAGGUAACGGCUCACCAAGGCGACGAUGCGUAGCCGACCUGAGAGGGUGAUCGGCCACAUUGGGACUGAGACACGGCCCAGACUCCUACGGGAGGCAGCAGUGGGGAAUAUUGCACAAUGGGGGAAACCCUGAUGCAGCAACGCCGCGUGAGUGAUGGCGGUCUUCGGAUUGUAAAGCUCUGUCUUUGGGGACGAUAAUGACGGUACCCAAGGAGGAAGCCACGGCUAACUACGUGCCAGCCGCCGCGGUAAGAC
rnacentral:rRNA from 1 species